UGUAAACAAUGGCGUUGGCCUGCAAAAAGCUGAAUCAUUCACAGACCUGUGACUUGCCCAGGUGGCUACAGACUCCAUCUUGUUGCUGUGAUUUUGCACAGAAGAACUGUAGGUAGGGCAAACUGGAUAGCUCACGGAGUUGUUAACUGAACAUAAUGUCUUUCAUCUCUAGAUACCUUAUUCUAGUUAGACUCAGACAUGUAGUGACUGAAAAAAUAUUACCAUUUCAUGGUUUUUCGUGGCCUAAGGGAAACAAGGUCUCCUCCUUGUUGUCAGGCAGAGAGACCAAGAACUGGAUGAGCCAGGGAAACUGCACUCACCUCUCUAACCUCUACAGGGGGUUCCAUCCAGGUCAAAGGAAAGGCAUAGUGGCAGCAGAGUGUGUAGUGGGGAGUGGGGGCUGAGUUGAGGAAAGAUGUCCUGCCAGUCCAUCUAUUCUGUAGAUAGAGAACUCCAGACUCCUCUGUCUCAUACAUUUCAACAGAACAGAAUUCACACAAACAAACUAAGACAAACUAAAAUAAAAUUAUGUGACUAAUGAAAUGAAUAGAUAAAAUCUCAGCCUAAUCCAGGAGUAUGAUGAUUUCUGCCUUGUCUUUCUUUCAACUUCCUAGAGUUUUCAGGGGAGUGUCUGCAAAGCUGGGGAAUACUUUACCACAAGGUACAGCUCUCUGGCAACACCCUACACUGUGGCUACAGCGUCCUAUGCUUUAGCCCUGUUGGGCAAACUGGAUGAUGAGAAGGUGCUCGUGACAGCUUUGAAAGAUAAAGUUUUGUGGCUAAUUCAGUAACAGAAAGAUGUGGCCACGGUGGGAGGGAAUUCAAAAGUGAGCAACGAAAAUGAUAAAGGGAGACAGAGACAACAGUGUGGGAUACAGCAUAAUGGCCCAGUCCUUCAAAUACUUACCGUCAAGGAUAGUGCUUACUCUGCUAAGUAGUCCCAUUGAAGUCAAUAUUACUCCAUUAGUAUCAUUUAUGCCUGGAAAUACUCCCAAAUGAUAGCUACAUUGAGAUGGAGUUAAAGGUUGAGAGUACAUAUCAGUACAAUACAUUACAGAAAAUUGUAAACAUUCCAAAAUUAAGCAGGACAGUCAGAUUUAAGGUUAAACUUAAAAAAAAAAAAAAAAAAAGAGAUCCAAUUGCACUGAGGUAUGGAAAUGCAUUGUUCAAGCACACAAGAAAACUUUAUCUCUGCCCUUGUAAUGAUGCCUUAAGGAGAAAAAUUCUCUUUAAAAAUCAGUUUAAAAAAACUUUAAGACAAUAUAGUGUGUUUGGUUCCAGGUUUUUAAUCAUCAUCAAGCUGUUAUUAUAUGACACCAUUACAGGUAACUUUAAUUCUGAAUUUCCUGAGUAUCUGAUGGCUGGUUUUGGGGCUGGUGGCCACUUCCAGGAGCCAUGUGAAGCCAGAGCAGGUAGGGAACCUUUCUUAGCCUGCCAGUGCUGACCGCAGCUGGCAGGGUCCAUUUUCGACCAGGCGUUCCGGUCGAAAACUGACAACCCUACUUGCUGGUAAACAACCAUCCCACAGUAACAACUUGCCAUCAUCAGCCUGAGCUAGGAUUUUACCAAUGAUCUCCCCAUGAAUUCCUUGUGUGAACAAGCCCGACAUUUUCAGACUAAUUCCAAGGUUUCCACAUCAUAAAAGACACUCCCCACCCAGUGAGUUGGCAAUAAUCAGCCCCCUUGUUGGCAGGUUCAGCAAAGGCCAAGAGUUGAGAGGCCCAUACAAACUGAGCUGUCUUCUUACUCCUAGAUAGAGUCCUUCUAGAAGAGGACUGAAGGGCCUGGACAGUGAGGCAAUAGCGUGUGUAUACGAGGACCUUGCCGUGCUGCUGUCUGUGCUUUAUAUGUCCUUGGGGAUACACCUAAAAGGUGCUGUGUACCCUCAUCUCUGACCUAAGUCAAUAGGCACUGAAGGUUCUCGGCAGCUUGCAAGCUGGAUCCAGAGGGUUGUGAUAAAACUCCACUGCAAUCUUAAAUUAUGGCAUUCCUAUCAGUCUAAUUAAGAUUCAUGUUUGAGGCUGAAUCAGGUGCAGAAAUCUCAUGAGAUUUUGGGCCCAAAUUGGAGGAAUGGUAUACAUCUCUUUUGAUCAGCUCUCAUGGGUCUCUGAAAAAGCUCUGGAAGACAGGGGUCUCUCCCAAUUUUUGAUCUAGCUCAGAAACAAAACAGUUUGAACCUGGGGUUUCAAAUCCAGCUUCCCCCACAGAAAAAUUCCAAGGGGAUCAGAUUUAAGUUACUGGUUUUGGUCCAUGAAGACUUAUCCAGUGAUCGGUUUUGAACUGAGUGGAAGGCUGCUAGCCUCAAAAUGAGCAUUGCAUGCUAAGACCUAUAGUCUUUGUGGGCCACUUAUUAUCAUUGAUGCUAUUAAAUGCAGGAGCAC